UACGGAGGGUGCGAGCGUUAAUCGGAAUUACUGGGCGUAAAGCGUGCGCAGGCGGCCUGCCAAGUCAGGUGUGAAAGCCCCGGGCUCAACCUGGGAACGGCACUUGAAACGGGCAAGCUAGAGUUAGGUAGAGGGGGGCGGAAUUCCGGGUGUAGCGGUGAAAUGCGUAGAUAUCCGGAGGAACACCAGUGGCGAGGGCGGCCCCCUGGACCCAAACCGACGCUGAGGCACGAAAGCGUGGGUAGCAAACAGG
rnacentral:rRNA from 1 species